rnacentral:tRNA from 1 species
GCCAAGGUGGUAGAAUUAAAUAUAUAAGAUUUAGGAUCUUGGGGUGGGAUAAUAAGGUCCCCUUUGGUG